rnacentral:lncRNA from 1 species
CCGCGGCCGGCGGGGCCGCCGCUCCCCUCCCCUCCCCGCUCCUCGCCUCGACUUCCAGCCGGCGGCGAGGGGCGAGUCACUUGGGGGAAGGAGCCCGGGCGCUGUGUCCCUCCAGCCCUGCUGUGUCAUUGCGGACCGGGGGACGGCUGCUCGCUGCCGACUGGCAUUCGCUGCGGCUCGUGUUUAUGGCACUUCCCGAUGGAAGCAGAGCUCUCCAGAGGACUCCUGGCUAAUAACACAAUCUAAUGGAAGUGCCCCUGUGGUGAGUGAUGCUGAGGAUGGAAGCAUGAGCCUUACAGUUUGCACUGAAAAGUCAGACCCUGAACUUCAUUGCAUUUGACCUUUUGUCAUCCAAGAAUUUGCAUAAAGUAUUCCCUUCUCUGGAAUUAGGUGCUUGAGUGAAACAUUUCAUGGGCCUGCUUAACUAUUCAUCUGUGCUACAAUAGCAAUUAAUGUCUGUGUAAGUAAACCUUCUGU